GCUGCGCCUCCUCUGAGCCAGCACUCUGGCUUCACAGUCGGUGCUCGUAGCAUUUCAGCUGUUUGACUCCAACGGCAAUUACAGCCACAGCCUUCGCCGCCGCCACCACCAUCCCCUUCUGGGUUGGAGAACACAAUGCACCGCGCACAGGCAUUACCAAAGCCCACAAGCUUCGGUCUCCGUCAUCGUGCCCUCUUCACAGAUGAGCAAACGGAGGCCAGACGUCACCGGCAGGCGGCGCUGCAGAGCGCGAGGCCCCGCACCUGCGCGGGGAGCGGCAGGCCCGGGGGACGCAGUUUCUUACAGGCAAAAUAAAGAGGAUAAUCCUUCCCUCAUAGGACAGCUUUGAGAAUUGGAUGAAAUUGCUCCUCUGGAGUACUUUCUACAAGUCCGUACUAUCAUGCAGGUGCUGGAAAAGGUUUUCUUCUUUUUGUCCUUCCCACUCAGUGUUAGAAUGACGGAACCUUUGGUCCAGAACCUGGGAUGUUGCCUUUUGCUCACUGGAGUUCCCAUCCUGGAAGAGUGAGCACAGUGGAUUGUCCCGGCAGCCAGGAAGCCAAUGGAGCCAAGUCCUUCAGGACAGCCUAGGAGCCUCCAGGAAGCUGUUAGGAGUUGCCAUGCUGGGUGCAUUUGGACUCACAGAAUCUGGCUUCCGAUCUCAGUGCUGCUUCUACUCCUUUACUACUUUAGGGCUCUCAUUCCUGUUAAAACUGUUUUCUUAUCACAGAAUGGGGAAAUGUGUUCCUUGAAAAUAAAAAUGAGAAGUCAUUUAUGAA